GCACUCUUGGUUUAGUGGUAAAAUCAGCGCUUCCCAUGCUUUAGUAUGCGCUGGCCCCGGGUUCGAUUCCCGGAGGGUGCA
rnacentral:tRNA from 1 species